rnacentral:rRNA from 1 species
AGAGUUUGAUCCUGGCUCAGGAUGAACGCUAGCGACAGGCUUAACACAUGCAAGUCGAGGGGCAGCAUGAUUUGUAGCAAUACAGAUUGAUGGCGACCGGCGCACGGGUGAGUAACGCGUAUGCAACUUACCUAUCAGAGGGGGAUAGCCCGGCGAAAGUCGGAUUAAUACCCCAUAAAACAGGGGUCCCGCAUGGGAAUAUUUGUUAAAGAUUCAUCGCUGAUAGAUAGGCAUGCGUUCCAUUAGGCAGUUGGCGGGGUAACGGCCCACCAAACCGACGAUGGAUAGGGGUUCUGAGAGGAAGGUCCCCCACAUUGGUACUGAGACACGGACCAAACUCCUACGGGAGGCAGCAGUGAGGAAUAUUGGUCAAUGGCCGAGAGGCUGAACCAGCCAAGUCGCGUGAAGGAAGAAGGAUCUAUGGUUUGUAAACUUCUUUUAUAGGGGAAUAAAGUGGAGGACGUGUCCUUUUUUGUAUGUACCCUAUGAAUAAGCAUCGGCUAACUCCGUGCCAGCAGCCGCGGUAAUACGGAGGAUGCGAGCGUUAUCCGGAUUUAUUGGGUUUAAAGGGUGCGUAGGCGGCACGCCAAGUCAGCGGUGAAAUUUCCGGGCUCAACCCGGAGUGUGCCGUUGAAACUGGCGAGCUAGAGUACACAAGAGGCAGGCGGAAUGCGUGGUGUAGCGGUGAAAUGCAUAGAUAUCACGCAGAACCCCGAUUGCGAAGGCAGCCUGCUAGGGUGAAACAGACGCUGAGGCACGAAAGCGUGGGUAUCGAACAGGAUUAGAUACCCUGGUAGUCCACGCAGUAAACGAUGAAUACUAACUGUUUGCGAUACAAUGUAAGCGGUACAGCGAAAGCGUUAAGUAUUCCACCUGGGGAGUACGCCGGCAACGGUGAAACUCAAAGGAAUUGACGGGGGCCCGCACAAGCGGAGGAACAUGUGGUUUAA